rnacentral:sRNA from 1 species
GUGCAGAGUGUGCCAGGCCCCACCCACAAAUGGGGCUUGUGGGGUCCUUGGGUGGCAGAGGCUGAGCGUGGGAAAGUGAGCUUCAGGCCAGAGAAGCCACAAAAGGGCCAGCUGCGGGCCGUCCAGCGGCUGUGCCACUUCUACAGUGCCGUCAUGCCCAGCGAGGCCCAGUGUGUCAUCUACCAUGAGCUCCAGCUCUCCCUGGCCUGCAAGGUGGCCGACAAGGUGCUGGAGGGGCAGCUCCUGGAGACCAUCAGCCAGUUCUACCUGUCCCUGGGCACUGAGCGGUCAUCUCAACCCCAGCAGUAGCAGUACGUGCAUUCUGGGCUGUUCUUCCUACCGAGGUGGUUUUUGUCAUCUGACCUCUGCCUGCCCCGAGUCUUCACUCCUGGCCUUCAUCUGUGCCCUUAAAUGUGACCACAGCAGCCACCUGUGGCUUCUCUCCCACAGAAGACAGAGCCAGUCGUAUCACCUGCUUCCCUGGGGCAGGGUUUCAAGGUCUCACGUCCCACCUGUGGCCCACUUGGCUCCCCUGGAGCAUCCUGACCUGGUGGGGUAACCACGGCCCUGGCCACCCCACCCACAGGGCCCAGUGACAUUGCUGCAGUCACACCCCUUCGACUCACCGAGAGAGCAGGGAAGGAACCAGAUUCCACAGGGACCCAGGAGAUUGGCUCCAGUCUUGGCCUCAGGUUCACAGCAGGAAAAUGGGCCAGUGUGUUAGAGCCAUGUUUCUCAAACUGUGGUCCCUGGACCAGCAGAGCAGCAUCCAUGUCACCCAGGAGCUUGUGGCAAGUGGGAGUUCUAGGGCCCGCCCCAGGCCUGUGGAGCCAGAAGCUCUGGGGGCAGGCCAGCAAGCUAUACGGACAGGCCUCCUGGUGACUGUGAUGCGUGCACACCUUGAGAACCAUUGGCCUGGAUAGCAUCUGAACACUAAUGGCUCCUGGUGCAUCUGGAGAAGACACAGGCCAUGUCUGGGAUGCGGGGGAGAUGGACUAGCACGCUUCCCCUGCCACAGGGCAGCAUGAUGCCCAGUUCCCUCAGAAGGAUGUCCUUCAUCUUUCCCGUGCCGUGUGUGUUCACCCCCACCCUCUCAGCAGCCUGGGAAGGGCAGGACACUGCACACACAAGAGGGCCAUUCCCAGUCCCAUUCCAGAUUCAUCUGUCACCAGACCCAUGGGAGGAGGCAGACUGGUUCCAGGAGGAUAAGAGACCUUGUUCUGACACCUGUGUCUGAUUCCAGGGCCUACAAAUCCGCACUGGACUACACCAAACGGAGUCUGGGGAUUUUCAUUGACCUCCAGAAGAAAGAGAAGGAGGCGCAUGCCUGGCUGCAAGCAGGAAAGAUCUAUUACAUCUUGCGACAGAGCGAGCUGGUUGACCUGUACAUCCAGGUGGCGCAGAAUGUGGCCCUGUACACAGGCGACCCCAACCUGGGGCUAGAGCUGUUUGAGGCGGCUGGAGACAUCUUCUUCAAUGGGGCCUGGGAGCGGGAGAAAGCCGUGUCCUUCUACCGGGACCGGGCCCUGCCCCUGGCAGUGACUACGGGCAACCGCAAGGCAGAGCUGCGGCUGUGCAACAAGCUGGUGGCACUGCUGGCCACGCUGGAGGAGCCCCGGGAGGGCUUGGAGUUUGCCCACACGGCCCUAGCACUCAGCAUCACCCUGGGGGACCGGCUGAACGAGCGUGUGGCCUACCACCGGCUGGCCGCCCUGCAACACCGGCUGGGCCAUGGCGAGCUGGCAGAGCACUUCUACCUCAAGGCCCUGUCGCUCUGCAACUCGCCGCUGGAGUUUGACGAGGAGACCCUGUACUACGUGAAGGUGUACCUGGUGCUCGGUGACAUCAUCUUCUACGACCUGAAGGACCCGUUUGAUGCAGCCGGGUACUACCAGCUGGCGCUGGCGGCCGCCGUGGACCUGGGCAACAAGAAGGCACAGCUGAAGAUCUACACGCGGCUGGCCACCAUCUACCACAACUUCCUCCUGGACCGUGAGAAAUCGCUCUUCUUUUACCAGAAGGCCAGGACCUUCGCCACAGAGCUCAACGUCCGCAGGGUCAACCUGCCUCCUCUGCCACUCUGCGGGUGGGCCCCUUGGUUGGCCCCCAGCCACCCUCGCUGAGGACAGCAUCCAAGGGAGUGGGUUUUGUGCAAGGGGCGGGGGUCUCCUGCCUCUCCUGGUGUCUCCGGUGGCUCAUAUUCUGGGAAAUGGAGGCACGAAUGCAGGGGUCAAAUAGCAAUAAAUUGGUUUUUUU